GAGUUAGCGGCGGACGGGUGAGUAAUGCCUAGGAAUCUGCCUGGUAGUGGGGGACAACGUUUCGAAAGGAACGCUAAUACCGCAUACGCCCUACGGGGGAAAGCAGGGGAUCUUCGGACCUUGCGCUAAUAGAUGAGCCUAAGUCGGAUUAGCUAGUUGGUGGGGUAAAGGCCUACCAAGGCGACGAUCUGUAGCGGGUCUGAGAGGAUGAUCCGCCACACUGGGACUGAGACACGGCCCAG
rnacentral:rRNA from 1 species